CCCUAUGACAUGCAACUACAGCCGGCUGAUUGUCCUUACCGGAAAUGGACGAUGACGCCUCGUUUUGACGUCGUCUCCAUACUAGUUACCGUUGUCGUUGCCAACGCCCCUGUGUUUUAACAGAAUCGCCAUUGCUCUUACUCGCUAUCGCUCUGCAUUUCGUUGACUACAGCAUCGUUUCAAGAUCUUCUACUGACAAGAUGUUUACAAGGCUGCAUAUUCAAGCACGGGAAGACUUGAUCCGGUAUCAUGUCACUCCUGCUGCUAGUCUAUGGCCGUCGCUGGAUGAGGAAUCCGACUGUGUAUGUACAUCCUAUCUACACCUGCUUCCUAUUGGGCGGAAUAGCUUGCUUCUUUUGUCUAUGAGCCAGUGAUCUCUUACACGUGCUACUGCACUGCACACUUUCCCCUGUCUGUUAUGGUGUCCUGAAAAUAGCCCCCUCACACCCCUCUCUCAUGUACACAUUAA